rnacentral:tRNA from 1 species
GCGGCCGGCGUAAACUGUUGUAAUAUAAGCGCUUCUGAGGUGCGAGACAGGAUUUAGGUUCCAGCGCCGCAAGGCGUGAGAGUUCGAGUCUCUCCGUCCGCACCA